rnacentral:rRNA from 1 species
AGUUUGAUCAUGGCUCAGAGUGAACGCUGGCGGCAGGCCUAAUACAUGCAAGUCGAACGGCAGCACAGCAGAGCUUGCUCUGUGGGUGGCGAGUGGCGGACGGGUGAGGAAUACGUGGGAAUCUGCCCAGUCGUGGGGGAUAACGUAGGGAAACUUACGCUAAUACCGCAUGCGCCCUUCGGGGAAAGCCGGGGACCUUCGGGCCUGGCGCGAUUGGAUGAGCCCACGUCGGAUUAGCUAGUUGGCGGGGUAAAGGCCCACCAAGGCGACGAUCCGUAGCUGGUCUGAGAGGAUGAUCAGCCACACUGGAACCGAGACACGGUCCAGACUCCUACGGGAGGCAGCAGUAGGGAAUAUUGGACAAUGGGCGCAAGCCUGAUCCAGCCAUGCCGCGUGAGUGAAGAAGGCCCUCGGGUUGUAAAGCUCUUUUGUCCGGAAAGAAAAGCGCCGGGUUAAUACCCUGGUGUCCUGACGGUACCGGAAGAAUAAGCACCGGCUAACUUCGUG